GACGAACGCUGGCGGCGUGCUUAACACAUGCAAGUCGAACGGUGAGGCGCUUUCCUUUUUGGUUGGUGUGGAUGAGUGGCGAACGGGUGAGUAACACGUGAGUAACCUGCCCCCUUCUUCUGGAUAACCGCAUGAAAGUGUGGCUAAUACGGGAUAUUCUGCGCCUGCUGCAUGGUGGGUGUGGGAAAGAUUGUGCCUUUGGGUGUUUUCGGUGGGGGAUGGGCUCGCGGCCUAUCAGCUUGUUGGUGGGGUGAUGGCCUACCAAGGCGGUGACGGGUAGCCGGCCUGAGAGGGUGGACGGUCACACUGGGACUGAGACACGGCCCAGACUCCUACGGGAGGCAGCAGUGGGGAAUAUUGCACAAUGGGCGCAAGCCUGAUGCAGCGACGCCGCGUGAGGGAUGGAGGCCUUCGGGUUGUGAACCUCUUUCGCCAGUGAAGCAGGCCUGCUCCUUGUGGGUGGGUUGACGGUAGCUGGAUAAGAAGCGCCGGCUAACUACGUG
rnacentral:rRNA from 1 species